GGGAUUAUGUAUUAUCAUUUAAUAUGUUCUGUUUUAAAUAUAAACAAAGGAAGGACAGCAUUUAUUUAAUUGUAUUAGUUUAACUCAAAUAUUUUCUAGCGGAGAGUUAUUUUGAUUAUUUAAAGGAUUAUUAAAAUAAUUGUGACGAGUGUACACGUACCUCAAGAGAACGAGAAUCGUGAAAAGUGCCGAAAUACUUGAAGCAGUGUGUAAGAAGUUUUAUUUCUUAUUUUUUUCUUCACUUGACAAUUUACAAACACUUUGAAGUCUUACCAGAAUUCCGGCGCAGUUUCCGUUUGAGGCAACUUGUUUUUAUUCAAUAUUCUAUAUAACGAGCUAAUAGUCCAAAUAAUAGGACGUUUUGGGACAGUGUGAUAACUUUUGACUGUCGCUGUCUCGUCAAAGGGAUGAAAACUAUAAAAUAGCAGUCAUCCCGAUAAGCCAAAUGAGUAAGGCUAUAUAACGAGGUGCCAGAUUGCAAAGUUAAGAUGUGACGCAGAUUGGUACCGCAGUAUUGCAUUCAGUCUGGACUACUCCAUCUAGAAUGAUAUUCAAUGGAAAAAAUACAUAUGUUAAACACAUACAACAUUUCUCGUAAUCAAUACCCAUUUGAUGCUGAUAGAUAACAGGAUUCAGCUCGUACCUACGACCCAUGGUUUCAGCCUAGUGCUCUUGUUCAAGAUCUAUAUAUAUUGCUUGAAAGAGAACUGGACACAUGCACAACAUACAAACAACACUAGAAAUGAAUACGAAAACCUGUGCGGAACAAAAUAAACCGAAAACCCUAACGCGUGAUAGGUUAUAAGAGUUUUUUUUCAAGGUCAAUUACCCAUAGAAUACAAUCAACGUUUUCACACAAAUAUUAAGCACAAGCUAAAAUGGAUAAUAAAAAUAGUGCUGAAGAUGAAAACGCUUGGAAGGAGACAAUCAAGCUUAAGGAGACUAAAAAUAAAACAAACAAAAAACUAAAGAGGAAGAAUCAAGAGAAGGUACUGAAAGUCAGGAAACUUCUUCAAGAACGACUGGCCUCAAAACUGGCAUUCUUUCAAAGCAUUGAUGCAGCAGAACAUGAAAAGACUCCGCGGCGACAUGGUAAUGCAGUCAAGAAAUCUGAAGCACUUGUUUACGACAGCACGGGCCAUAACGCGGCCGAGCAGCAGACGACAAGUAAGAAAAAAUAAGGAUACUGACUGUUUGCAUGGAGGUUUUUACAGAUUUAAUGAAUUAGACGCUGAUAUUCAAAGAAAUAAAGACAUUUGCGUUUAUACAACAGCUGCUAAAUAUGUUUAUUGUUGAAACCAAUAUGAGAAUUUAUACGAAUAUAAACACGGACAGUUAAAGGAAACACUAAAAUUUGGAACUUUGUAAUAUUUUUUUAUGGGUCAUAACAUUGUAAAAUGUUUCUAUGUGACUAAUCUACUGAUUCUCGAUAUACGGCCACUUAUGAGACAUCUCCGCGAGCAGCAAACAUGAAGUUGUAUGCGGUAACUUGUAUCAUGGCGACAUCGGCUGUCUAUCCAUAAAUACAGAAAUUCUAAAAUUGAAGAUUAAGUAUCAAGGAUAAAUAUCACUAUAUAAAAUAAUAAUUUUCUGAAAAGAAGUAUAUUUUAAUACAAGGAAAACAAGGUCUUCUGCACGUCUUAAAUAGUCUUUUUUAUUAUGUUAUCAAAGUUUCAGACUUCAGAAGCAAGUCAACAUUAAAACAAAAAAUUGUAAAAUAUAAAGCUGAUUUUAUUCUUACAUUUCUGGAAUUCGUAUGUACUUCAGUAGACAUUAUCUACUGUUUAAACUCCCAUAACAUUCUAGCGUCUUCAUUGGUCAAAAGUGGUCACAUGGUGACCCCCUAUUUCUGUGGCAGGUCAGAAGAUUUUCAUGACGUUUUAGGCUAUAAAUAAGUGGUCGAUAAAACAUUUGUUUGUAACCCUCCAAGGAAAUAUGUGGUGUCAGUAUGAUAAAUAUGGGGACCCGGCUAACGCCUCGCCCACAUAUCAUACUGACCGCACACAUUUCCGUGGAGGACCAUUAACAAACCAAUUAUCCUUCAAAGUUCUCCGGCGUUCAUUACAAGACAAUAAAAUGUCUUUUCCAUUUGAAAUGUCAACAGUUCUAGUGAUCGAAAUAAUGCAUUGACUGGUAAGGAGCUAACUCAUAAUGUUACAGAAAAUAGAAUAUUUAUUAUUUUACACCACUCAUUUUAUUUACUGACUGUUUCAAUAUAAUUAGCGAUAUCGCUUUCGUUAAUAAAUAACAAUCAUUAAUGUAAUUAAUACACAUAUAGAAAAAUGAAUUGUCUGAAAUGAGUAUUUGAAACUCAAAAGUAACCAACUACGAUUUUUUUUUAAAAAUGUAUUCUUAUUGUCCAUUUACACACACCAUUUAUAUAUGAAACGUUUUUACUGACAUUUAUUACCAUUUCAUUAUACAUAUAUAGCCCUUCUUGUUUUGCUGUUGUCAAAUGUUGUUAAUAUUUUUUACAUUUCAAUAAACUUUAGAUUUCUU